ACAAUAAAAGCAAAUCUUUGCAUUUAGUUUCGACCUAAAAGUUUGGUUAUUAACCUUAUUGUU
rnacentral:tRNA from 1 species